rnacentral:rRNA from 1 species
UACGUAGGGGGCGAGCGUUGUCCGGAAUCAUUGGGCGUAAAGCGCGUGUAGGCGGCUUGGUAAGUCCGGUGUGAAACCUUGGGGCUCAACCCCAAGCCUGCACUGGAUACUGCCUCGCUUGAGUCCGGGAGGGGAGAGCGGAAUUCCUAGUGUAGCGGUGAAAUGCGCAGAUAUUAGGAAGAACACCGGUGGCGAAGGCGGCUCUCUGGAACGGUACUGACGCUGAGACGCGAAAGCGUGGAGAGCGAACAGG